rnacentral:lncRNA from 1 species
UCUGAUUCUGAUACCUUCCUUGGAAGGAACAAUUGUUAAUCAGGUACUUGACAGACCUCAAGGGGUCUAUGAGGUGCGUACUGUGUCAGCAUGACUAGUCUUGUCGAAAAGAGCACGCAAUUUACCUAAGCAAAAAGUUUAUCGACUGUGAAACAGUACACUCACUGUUCGAAAAAACUUGAUGUACUUCGGCAUAGGCUGCUCGCCGAUUGAGACAGUAAGCUGGUUCAUACCAUCUUGUGGAUGUCCAAAAUGGAUCUGAUCAAGUAUGUGCUUGAGAAG